rnacentral:rRNA from 1 species
AGGACGAACGCUGGCGGCCGUGCCUAAUACAUGCAAGUCAACGGCUUUCUAUGGAAGCUUGCUUCCACUGAGAAGAUAGUGGCGAACGGGUGAGUAACACGUGGGGUAACCUGCCCAUAAGAGGGGGGAUAACAUCCGGAAACGGGUGCUAAUACCGCAUAGUUUUCUUGAUUGCAUGAUUGAGAAAGGAAAGACGGCCUUUGUGCUGUCGCUUAUGGAUGGACCCGCGGCGUAUUAGUUAGUUGGUGAGGUAACGGCUCACCAAGACGAUGAUACGUAGCCGACCUGAGAGGGUGAUCGGCCACAUUGGGACUGAGACACGGCCCAAACUCCUACGGGAGGCAGCAGUAGGGAAUCUUCCGCAAUGGACGAAAGUCUGACGGAGCAACGCCGCGUGAGUGAAAGAAGGUUUUCGGAUCGUAAAACUCUGUUGUCAGAGAAGAACAAGUUGGAGAGUAACUGCUCCAGCCUUGACGGUAUCUGACCAGAAAGCCACGGCUAACUACGUGCCAGCCGCCGC